rnacentral:lncRNA from 1 species
AAUAGAUUUUUGAAUCAUGAGAACCUAAAAACAUCUGUAAGUCUAAGGGACCAUCUUAAAGAAGCCAGUGAGAACUUCUUCUAUUAUCUGGAUCACUUAAAAUCAAACCAAGCAUUUACCUACAAGGCCCCAGGGGCUCUGACAUUUGUGAUCUCAUAAUUCUUCCAUUGAUACCAUGAGGCUGGAAACCCUAUGGUUGCUGGCUUCCCUGGGUCACUUGGCUGCCUCUGGGCUGCCAACAUAGAACCCACGUCACAUAAAGCCCCGGCCCAAGUAAAAUGCCAACAUCCAGGCCAAAUCCACACUUUUCCAUUUGUGAACAUGUCGCGCUUAAGAAUUACCUCCCUUCUUUCUGGGAUGGCUCAAAUAAUGGAAGGAAUGGUCCUCCAUCACCUUGAGGUUUUGUCAGCUUGACGUCCUCAUCCAAGCCUGACCACAGCCGUUAUGACAGCAUGAAUGCAAACACCACCUCUCCUGACCUAGACGCUGCACCCGGCUGUGCCCGCUUCUGCUGUAGGGAGAGUCAGUGAGGUCCAUCUGCAGCCUUCCUCCUUUUCCUUGAAUGGGGCUUGGCAUUGAGAUUACACACCUCUGGCAGUGGGGCCUCCAGCAAGUCUUAAAGAUCUCGACGCACCGACAUCUUGGCACAUAGUAGUUAACAAUAAGUAACUGUUCAAUUGGCUUCUAGUUGAACCUCAUAUGUCUUGGUUAACAUGUGCAGGAUUGGUAGGCAUUCAGCCCCAAUUAUUCCGCCCUUAACUCAUUUUUGCAGUUUAUUAAUAAUCAGUUGGCACGCAGUUUCGAAAGAACUAAUUCUGUAAUAACAUGUUAUGGCUACUCCUCGGCGCCAUUACAUGCCUGAGGUCCCUUGCUGUCCCUUUGUGUUUUUGAUGAAAGGUAACAGCCUGGUGUUCCCAGCCGUCACCCAGAGGUGGGAGCAGAUCCGGCUGCUGCAGCUUAUUGCUAGGAAUGGGUGAGGCUGAGUGGAAGCUUUAGUAACUCAGGUGCGGCUCUUAAGCUUUGUUUUGAGUUUCAAAAGGGCUGUUUUGUCCCUUACUCGUGAAGUGGCCUUGUGUGACAUAAUGGCCCCCUCUGUGCAGGGUUCGAGGGGAAGGGAAGGGGAACAUGCCCAGCGACUCCACGUGGGGAAGUUGCAUUUCCACACCAUUCACAGGGGAUCCAGUGUUUUCGGAAUUGUCUGGGUGUGAACAGCAUAAGAGGUGCUAGAAACUCAGCAAGGGAAGGGGGAGCUGGGCCAGGAGGAGAAGGCUGGGGAUGGGCUGAGGAGAGAGAGCUUCCUGGCCAGAGGCAGCCCCAGGCAUGGGUCUUGGGUUCUGAGUGGGCAGGAUUCUGGCUCAGGGUGAGAGGUGAAACUUCGUUCAGGAGAUAUACGCUGAGCCAUCCACUACGUGCCAGGCACCUUAGAAAGGGCCGGGUAUUCAUAUUGUGACUUCACACGGCUCCCUGCAGAGUUGACGUUGGGAGCUGCCCUGCUAGCCACGGACCACAUUGUGAACAGCACCCCCUGGGGGUGGGAGAUGUGGUGGGCGGAGUUCAGGAUCCAGCCACAGGGAAAGAACGAACAGGCAAACUGUGGGAUCCCGGCCUGCCAGGGAGGGUUCAGGGUAAAGCCUUCAGUUUGCUUGUUCAUUCAUUUAUUCAAUAUUUAUUGAAGGCCUCACAGGGAGGUGACAAACUCUAUAGACACAUACACGGGGGAAGAGCACGCCAGGCAGAGGGAACAGCAGGUGCAAAGGGGAUGGCGCUUGGUAGGUUCCAGGAGCGGGCAGAACAGAGUGGCUGGAGCAGAGUGGGCAAGGCUGGGGGGCAGCACUGAAGGAGGCACAGUCAGAAAGGGGACAGGGGGCUGGUCACAGGGGCAUGCAGCCCAUGAUGAAGCCUUUUGACUGAGAUGGGGAGUAGAGAGGGGUCUUGAGCAGAAAGGUGACGUGAUCCAACCUUUGUUUUAACGUAGCGCCAUGGCUGCCAUGAUAUAAUCAUAGACCGAAGGGGUCAAGGGUAGAAAAUCAGAGACAAGUUGUUGGGCCAGUGGGGCCUGGAUGGUGGCAGUAGAAAUGGGGAAAGUUCUCAGAUUCUGGACCCAUUUUGAAGGAGGAGUGACAGGAUUUGCUGAUGGAACAAAUGUGGGGAGCAAGAGGAAGAAGAGUUAGGAAUGUCUCCUGGGCAGUGGGAAAGAAGAAAGUGUCAUUGACAGAAAUGGAGAAGACUGUGGGAGGGGCAGGUUUGGGAGGAAAUAAUUAGGAGCUCUGUUUGGGACAUGUUGUAUUGGAGAUACUUUUUGGACAUCCAGUGGGGAGAGUGAUAGGUGGGGUAAUUGGGUCUAGAAGUCAGGGAUGAGGUCUAGGUUAGAGACAGAGACUUUAGUCAUCAGCAUGUUGAUGGUACUUCAAGCCAUGAGACUGGAGGAGAUCCCUGAGACUGAAGCUGAGAAAAAAAGAGGUCAAGGGCUGAGCCGUGGGCACUACAGCUUUUGCACACUGGAGAGAAGAGCAAGAACUGGCAAAGGAGACUGAGAAGGAGCAGCCAGAGAGGCUUUUUCUAGCAGCUGUGAUCAGCAAGGGGAAAGGACCUGCCUAAAGUCAUCACACUGCUAAUUGGGGUCGAGUUAGAACCCAAGUCUCUGGGCCCCGCUUGAGGCUGUUUACCUCUUCAGGACAGAAGGGACCAGCUGGAUAUAAGAGCUGAAGGAGAGAGACCAGACCAGAGCAUCUAUUCAGGAAAUUUUAGGCCCUUUCUCAGACGGCCUAAAAUUAGACCUUCGCCACUCCCAACCAAAGCAUGUCAUGACAUGGAAGAAGGUGGUCCCUGGCCUAAUGACCCAUUUCUGUAAAAAUGAGGUAGGAUGUGUAAACAGUGCAAUAAGACUAUGGAACAACAGACCGUGAGCCAGUGUCACCUUAAAUGUAAACGUUAGAGAUCUAGGCUUCUGAAGAAAUGUUGGAAAGCC